rnacentral:rRNA from 1 species
AAUGAACGUUGGCGGCAUGGAUUAGGCAUGCAAGUCGAGCGAGAAGUGUAGCAAUACACGGAAAGCGGCGGAAGGGAGAGUAAUACGUGGGAAUCUGCCCUUAGACCUGGGAUAGCAGCGGGAAACUGCUGGUAAUACCAGAUAAUGUCUAUGGACCAAAGGUGUGAUUCCGUCUAGGGAUGAGCCCACGUCCUAUUAGCUAGUUGGCAGGGUAAUGGCCUACCAAGGCGAUGAUGGGUAGCGGGUGUGAGAGCAUGACCCGCCUCACUGGGACUGAGACACUGCCCAGACACCUACGGGUGGCCGCAGUCGAGAAUCUUCGGCAAUGGGCGCAAGCCUGACCGAGCGAUGCCGCGUGCGGGAUGAAGGCCUUCGGAUUGUAAACCGCUGUCGAGGGGAAUCAAAUGUUAGGGGGUUCUCCCCCUAAUUUGAGAGAACCCUGGAGGAAGGGGAGGCUAAGCUCGUGCCAGCAGCCGCGGUAAGAC